GUGUAUUUAGUUUAAUGGUAAAACGCUAGAUUGUGAUUCUAUGGUUGAGGGUUCAAUUCCUUCAAUACACC
rnacentral:tRNA from 1 species